rnacentral:rRNA from 1 species
CCUACGGGUGGCAGCAGUGGGGAAUAUUGGGCAAUGGGCGCAAGCCUGACCCAGCAACGCCGCGUGAAGGAAGAAGGCUUUCGGGUUGUAAACUUCUUUUCUGAGGGACGAAGAAAGUGACGGUACAUCAGGAAUAAGCCACGGCGAACUACGUGCCAGCAGCCGCGGUAAUAAGUAGGGGGCAAGUGUUAUUCGGAUUUAUUGGGUGUAAAGGGCGUGGAGGGGGGAAAGGCAGUCAGAUGUGAAAACCUAGGGCUCAACCCCGGGCCUGACUUUGAAAAUGUUUUUUUUGAGUGCUGGGGGGGCAAGUGGAAUUCCGGGUGUAGGGGUGAAAUGCG